GGAGCUCCUGGGGAGGAUCAUCAAGAGGCUUUGAGGAAGCCUUCAGAAAUGAAGCACCAGACAUGGAGAAGUGCAGCCAGAAUGACUGUGCAAGGCAACAAGCUCAAAGCUGGGCAUCCCUUUUGUAAAUCUUUCCACCCCAAAGGCAUCAUUUUGAGCAGUUACAUGUAUGAAGUGAGAAAAUUACAGAGAUCUAUGGAUCUACCUGCAUCCUGUCCUGGAUACUUCAAAAGCUGCAGUUAAAAGUAUAAACCAAACUUCCUCUGCACUUACAGCAGAACAUACUGGGGCAGUUGCACAACCACAGUUACAGGAGGAGGGAGAAGGUUUCUGUGGCUCUGCCAGUGGCUCAGCAGGAAUGGACUCAGCUGGAUAAUACCUUUGUCUUCUGUGGUGGUGAAUAUAAUAAAAUUGCACUGAAAGGGCAGAACUCCUGUAGCAGCAACAUUUGGGGGACAUUGGAACUGUGACAAACCCCACUCGCUCUGCUCUCCAACGUCAGCGAAGCAACAGUACCUAAAAUAAUAUUCUCUCAGAUGACUCCGGCUUCAAGGAAUGAAGGUAGGCUGCAC